rnacentral:rRNA from 1 species
GACGAACGCUGGCGGCGUGCCUAAUACAUGCAAGUCGAGCGAAUCAAUAGGAGCUUGCUCCUGUUGGUUAGCGGCGGACGGGUGAGUAACACGUGGGCAACCUGCCUGUAAGACUGGGAUAACACCGGGAAACCGGUGCUAAUACCGGAUAAUCCUUUUUCUCUCAUGAGGGAAAGCUGAAAGUCGGUUUCGGCUGACACUUACAGAUGGGCCCGCGGCGCAUUAGCUAGUUGGUGAGGUAACGGCUCACCAAGGCGCCGAUGCGUAGCCGACAUGGGAGGGUGAUCGGCCAGACUGGGACUGAGACACGGCCCAGACUCCUACGGGAGGCAGCAGUAGGGAAUCUUCCACAAUGGACGAAAGUCUGAUGGAGCAACGCCGCGGGAGCGAUGAAGGCCUUCGGGUCGUAAAGCUCUGUUGUUAGGGAAGAACAAGUACCGGAGUAACUGCCGGUACCUUGACGGUACCUAACCAGAAAGCCACGGCUAACUACGUGCCAGCCGCCGCCGUAAUAC